UACGGAGGAUGCGAGCGUUAUCCGGAUUUAUUGGGUUUAAAGGGUGCGUAGGCGGACUGUCAAGUCAGCGGUAAAAUACGGGGGCUCAACCUCCGCCCGCCGUUGAAACUGACGGUCUUGAGUGGGCGAGAAGUAUGCGGAAUGCGUGGUGUAGCGGUGAAAUGCAUAGAUAUCGCGCAGAACUCCGAUUGCGAAGGCAGCAUACCGGCGCCCAACUGACGCUGAAGCACGAAAGCGUGGGUAUCGAACAGG
rnacentral:rRNA from 1 species